rnacentral:rRNA from 1 species
UACGAAGGGGGCUAGCGUUGCUCGGAAUUACUGGGCGUAAAGGGCGCGUAGGCGGACAGUUUAGUCAGAGGUGAAAGCCCAGGGCUCAACCUUGGAAUUGCCUUUGAUACUGGCUGUCUUGAGUUCGGGAGAGGUGAGUGGAAUGCCGAGUGUAGAGGUGAAAUGCGUAGAUAUCUGGAGGAACACCGGUGGCGAAGGCGGCAUCCUGGACCGGUAUUGACGCUGAGGCGCGAAAGCUAGGGGAGCAAACGGG